rnacentral:rRNA from 1 species
CGUAGGGUCCAAGCGUUAUCCGGAAUUACUGGGCGUAAAGAGUUGCGUAGGUGGCAUGUAAAGCGGAUAGUGAAAGCGUGUGGCUCAACCAUACAUCCAUUAUCUGAACUCACAAGCUAGAAGACGAGAGAGGUAGAUGGAAUUCCUGAUGUAGGGGUAAUAUCCGUAGAUAUCAGGAGGAACACCGAUGGCGUAGGCAGUCUACUGGCUCGUUCUUGACACUAAAGCACGAAAGCGUGGGGAGCAAACGGGAUUAGAUACCCCGGUAGUCCACGCCGUAAACUAUGGAUGCUAGCUGUAAGCCGUAUCGACCCGGCUUGUAGCGAAGCUAACGCGUUAAGCAUCCCGCCUGUGGAGUACGGUCGCAAGACUA